rnacentral:misc_RNA from 1 species
GAUGAAGAACGCAGCGAAAUGCGAUACGUAAUGUGAAUUGCAGAAUUCAGUGAAUCAUCGAAUCUUUGAACGCAUAUUGCGCUCUCUGGUAUUCCGGAGAGCAUGCUUGUUUGAGUAUCAGUAAACACCUCAACUUCCAUAUCUUUUUUGAAAUGGGAGUUGGACUUGAGUGAUCCCAACGCUUUUCCUCACCGAAAAGUGGCGGGUUACUUGAAAUGCAGGUGCAGCUGGACUUUUCUCUGAGCUAUAAGCAUUUCUAUUUAGUCUGCCUAAAAAACAGAUUAUUACCUUUGCUGCAGCUAACAUAAAGGAGAUUAGUUCUUGUGCUGACUGAUGCAGGAUUCACAAAGACGGCUUCGGCCGACUUUGUAAACUCGAUCUCAAAUCAAGUAAGACUACCCGCUGAACUUAAGCAUAUCAAUAAGCGGAGGA